UUUGACUCUUCGUCUUAUUAAAAAAGUUUAAGAUUAAUAAUUUUAUUUUUAUUAGACGAUAAAACAUGAAUAGUACUUUAUGUGUGACUAUUUUUAAAAAAAUCUCUUAAAAAUUUUCAAAUAAGACGGGUGAUCAAA
rnacentral:pre_miRNA from 1 species